rnacentral:rRNA from 1 species
UACGUAGGGUCCGAGCGUUGUCCGGAAUUAUUGGGCGUAAAGAGCUCGUAGGCGGUUUGUCGCGUCUGAUGUGAAAUCCCGAGGCUCAACCUCGGGUCUGCAGUGGGUACGGGCAGACUGGAGUGCGGUAGGGGAGAAUGGAAUUCCUGGUGUAGCGGUGGAAUGCGCAGAUAUCAGGAGGAACACCGAUGGCGAAGGCAGUUCUCUGGGCCGUAACUGACGCUGAGGAGCGAAAGCGUGGGGAGCGAACAGG